rnacentral:rRNA from 1 species
UGGGGAAUAUUGGACAAUGGGCGAAAGCCUGAUCCAGCAAUGCCGCGUGAGUGAUGAAGGCCCUAGGGUUGUAAAGCUCUUUUACCAGGGAUGAUAAUGACAGUACCUGGAGAAUAAGCUCCGGCUAACUCCGUGCCAGCAGCCGCGGUAAUACGGAGGGAGCUAGCGUUGUUCGGAAUUACUGGGCGUAAAGCGUACGUAGGCGGUUAUUCAAGUCAGAGGUGAAAGCCCGGGGCUCAACCCCGGAACGGCCUUUGAAACUAGGUAGCUAGAAUCUUGGAGAGGUCAGUGGAAUUCCGAGUGUAGAGGUGAAAUUCGUAGAUAUUCGGAAGAACACCAGUGGCGAAGGCGACUGACUGGACAAGUAUUGACGCUGAGGUACGAAAGCGUGGGGAGCAAACAGGAUUAGAUACCCUUGUAGUCCCUGAG